GAGGAGGCCAUUUUGAAAACUAAUAACUCUGUGUUGAUUAUGGGUCAGUUAAAAAAUAUGGACCAGGACUACGUGUACCUUCCCCUUUCCCUCCAGGUACCACUGCAUUCAGAUGGAGACUUCUUCAGGAGCAGGGACUCACUCCUUGUUUGUCAAGGAUGGAUUUAUCAACAUGAAAUCAAAUACAUCUGUGCCUCGUCAUAUCAUGAUACUGUCUGUGUUGACUGCAUAUGUGUUGUCAGCAUGGUCUAAAGCAGCACCUCACAAACACCAAUGUGCACAGACAGCUCCCAGACCAGAGAUAUUACAGCUCUGAAAACCUCCCAGGUGAUGCCCAUGCUGUCCCUCCGAUGCUGAGUGCAGCUGUUGCUGUGGUUUGAAGAAAGGACACCAGCUUAAGGGUCAUUAAAUCUGGAUUUGGGUCUAUGUCCUAGUUCUCUUCUGGGCCCUUCACUGGGUGAACUCAGUGAAAGAGUAACAUCACAGCGGAUAUCCAGUGAGGAGGGAGAAGAUUUGAUAAAGUAUUUAUUGGCUACAUUUUUCCUUAUGGGCAUCUAGCCAUCAUCAUUCCGUGGGAGGUGAAAUCUAAGGCAAACUCAGAGAAAUGGUUAUGAAUCCAUAAGAAGGAGACUAAUAAACAAAUGCACACAGAUAUGCAGAAAUCUAAGGCAAACUCAGAGAAAUGGUUAUGAAUUCAUAAGAAGGAGACUGAUAAACACAUGCAGGUAUGCAUCGGUAAGUAAAUGAAAUGGACCCAUUCAGGGUUGAUGCACACCCUUAAACCCCAGCCCAACUGGGGGAUCCCAGGUGAGAUACUCCUAAGGAUUGGGUUGCUUUGUUGGUCUCCAUCUUGUUUGGUGACACCUUUCCUUAAAAGACAUGGGACAGCCUCCCAUUACUUUUUGAAUUUCAUGCAUUGUCAUUGACCCUUUCAAGUUAAUGAACUGAGGCAUAAAAAGGAAAAUGUAGAUAUCUUAACAUUCACCUGAAGUGUGGUUAGGAGACAGAAACAGGUCGACAAAACUCUCCCGAGAAUGCCUUAAAGGAAGGAGUCAUAAUCCCCAAGACAAAGGUGGCGAUGAGUUAUCUGCACAGACUUCUGGCUUGCAGUAGUGAGGUGGACAUGCUCUCAGCAUUCAGGUCCCAACCAAACUCUUCAAAGCUACCCCAACAUUGCAUUUCAAUCCAUGUUUUGGGUAAUAACAUCAAGGGGCCAUGAGCAAGUAUGAGGCUCUGGAGGACUAGAGAUGCUUAAUUUUCCACUUUCUACAUUUUUCUUUUGUUCCAGACAAUUCCGGACUCCAUUCCCAAUUUUUUUCUCUCUAUGUGCAAAAACUAAGGCUUUGUGCACUCUGUUGCUAUGGAAACAGGAGAGAGAGAAACAGUUUAUGUAUUUCAAAAGCUGUCAGCCUAUAUGCUGUGGAUUUUGAUAACUAAACCUACACACAAACCACCU